rnacentral:rRNA from 1 species
GUAGGGAAUAUUGGUCAAUGGAUGGAAGUCUGAACCAGCCAUGCCGCGUGCAGGAAGAAGGCCUUCUGGGUUGUAAACUGCUUUUGCCAGGGGAUAAAAAUUCUUUGCGAAGAAAAUUGAAGGUACCUGGUGAAUAAGCACCGGCUAACUACGUGCCAGCAGCCGCGGUAAUACGUAGGGUGCAAGCGUUGUCCGGAUUUAUUGGGUUUAAAGGGUGCGUAGGCGGCCCUGUAAGUCAGUGGUGAAAUACUCCAGCUUAACUGGAGGGGUGCCAUUGAUACUGCAGGGCUUGAGUUAAGUUGAAGUUGGCGGAAUUGACGGUGUAGCGGUGAAAUGCUUAGAUAUCGUCAAGAACACCGAUAGUGAAGACAGCUAACUAAACUUUUACUGACGCUGAGGCACGAAAGUGUGGGGAUCAAACAGGAUUAGAUACCCGAGUAGUCC